CCGGGGCUAAACGGAUUACCGAAGCUGUGGAUGGACAUCGUAGAUGUCCGUGGUAGGAGAGCGUUCUAAGGGCGUUGAAGUCAGACCGGAAGGACUGGUGGAGCGCUUAGAAGUGAGAAUGCCGGUAUGAGUAACGAAAGACGGGUGAGAAUCCCGUCCACCGAAUGCCUAAGGUUUCCUGAGGAAGGCUCGUCCGCUCAGGGUUAGUCGGGACCUAAGUCGAGGCCGAUAGGCGUAGACGAUGGACAACAGGUUGAUA
rnacentral:rRNA from 1 species